AACGAACGCUGGCGGCAUGCCUAACACAUGCAAGUCGAACGGCAGCACGGGAACAAUCCUGGUGGCGAGUGGCGAACGGGUGAGUAACAUAUCGGAACGUGCCCAGUAGUGGGGGAUAGCCCGGCGAAAGCCGGAUUAAUACCGCAUACGACCUGUGGGUGAAAGCGGGGGAUCGCAAGACCUCGCGCUAUUGGAGCGGCCGAUAUCAGAUUAGCUAGUUGGUGGGGUAAAAGCCCACCAAGGCGACGAUCUGUAGCUGGUCUGAGAGGACGACCAGCCACACUGGGACUGAGACACGGCCCAGACUCCUACGGGAGGCAGCAGUGGGGAAUUUUGGACAAUGGGCGCAAGCCUGAUCCAGCCAUGCCGCGUGUGGGAAGAAGGCCUUCGGUUGUAACACUUUGUCAGGAAGAAACGGCGUCUUACUAAUAUUAGGGCGUAA
rnacentral:rRNA from 1 species